rnacentral:rRNA from 1 species
UACGUAGCAGCGAGCGUUGUUCGGAAUUACUGGGCGUAAAGCGUGCGCAGGCGGUUAUGUAAGACAGUUGUGAAAUCCCCGGGCUCAACCUGGGAAUUGCAUCUGUGACUGCAUAGCUAGAGUACGGUAGAGGGGGAUGGAAUUCCGCGUGUAGCAGUGAAAUGCGUAGAUAUGCGGAGGAACACCGAUGGCGAAGGCAAUCCCCUGGACCUGUACUGACGCUCAUGCACGAAAGCGUGGGGAGCAAACAGG